GGGGGGGGGGGGGUAGUAUAAGAUAAUACACCUAGAGAAUAUUUUGAUAACAAUAAUAGAAUCUUCUAGAAGGGGGUGCCCGGUUAAUUUGAAUGAUAAAACUUGGUCCAGAUGUCAAAAUAAAGGACUAAAAUGAAAAAGGCAACUCUUCUUGCCUUAGAAAUGAGGACUUUAGGCAGCAAAAUUCUGAAAAGAGAGACUAGAAAGAUCAGAAAAAGAAUAGGAAAAAAUACAGCUAAAAUAAUAUUGUUCAAUUAAAAUUUUUCUGAGAUCCCGGAGAUUUUCUUGGUUAAAACGAAUCUUUAAAUAUUUAGAAGCUAAAAAAGAGUUGAACUUGGUUUGAUAUUCAAGUAUUUGGGUUAGCUUUUGUUUGGAUUUUGAUGUUGGGUUUAACUGAUACAUUUGUGGUUCAAGUUUGGGUUUUAAGUUGAUCUUCCUCCGUUAUUCCUGGGCUAUUUAGCCGCUGAAACAUUGUCCCUGCUACUACUGCUACUAAACCUGCCGUCUCACUUCUUCUUUGUUUCUCUCUUCUUCCAGGUACCAAUUUUCUGAUUCAUUCAUGAUGUAAAGGUUGAUUUAAGGAUGAAGUGGAAGCACCAUUUUUACUUUAGUUCUUUGUUUCCUUGACUGAUGUUCAUGUUCCUUCAUUUACUCAUAGUAUAGUCUUAGUUGACUUCCAUUUAAGUAGUCAAAUUCUCAUGCUGUAAUUAAUCGUGGAUUGUAAAAACUGUGAUAUGUUUGGAUUUCAUUGGCUAUUUAGCUUUAGUUUAUAAGUCAAAUUUGCAAUCCAUGUUAUCUGAAUCUAAAAACAAUUUGGGAAUAAUUAGACUCUAUUACUGUCUAAUCAAGUUCUUAUGCUGUAAUUAAUCGUGGACUGUGGAGACAUGUGAUGUGUUUGGAUUUCUUUGGUUGUUUAGCUUUAAUGUUAUAAAUCAAAUUUGCAAUCCUUGUUAUCUGAAUGUAAAUUUGGGAAUAGUUAGACUCUAUUGCUGUUUGGUAUGCGUAAGCUUGAUAUUUAUGUAGCUGUUGGUAUUGUGUGACUGAGCCUUUAUUAUGGUGUUCGCUUCUUAUUAGCCCUAAAUGUUUCUUGUUAUGAAUCUCUGCUAGGAGUACCUGUAUAAAUAUAUUACAUUCCUUGUUCUUGAUUGACAAAGAGAAGUAAACCAUACUGUUUUCUUGUUGUUUCCUCUAAGACAUACUUUUGUUAAAUCGCGCUUGUAUGGUAGCCAGGUUCUUUUGAGUUUGGCGAUUGAAACAUGCCCAUAUCUGAAUUAUUUGUUGGAAAUCUUAUUUUCUGCUAUCAUAUGGAGCUGUAGCAUAGGUUGCAUUCAUUUGGUUGCUUUUUGUCUGUCGAUUCAGUUAUCUUAUUCUUGUUAUAGUCAACUUUGGACUCGGCAAAUAUAGUGGUCAUAACUUGUGUCAAAUGUUUGCCGGGAUAUAAGAAUUGGAAAUGUGCCUAGCCCAUUAACAAUGAAUCACCUACAUCCUUAGACCUUUGGCUUGGUCAAGUGCAACGAAACUCUUCAACAAAAGUACCUCAUGGAUUCAGGCUUCUUCACUCAUAAUCAUUAGUUUACCAACACCCAUAGCUUUAUAAAUUUUAAUCGAAUCCCUUUUGCAAAUAUAGUCAAGGUGUGCCAACGCCAAAUGAAAUUGAAUAAUUGCAUUGCAUAAUCAAAUUCGAACCCUUAAAAUUGGAGAUGUACCACCUAGUGAAUUUUCGUGGCCCUCGCAAAUUUAAACAUACGAAAUUGCUUUAGGCGCGGUAGUUAGAUAAUCUACUUUCCUAAAUAUGGGUGCGCAUUUAUGUGACCCAAAUUUAAAUCCCAACGAUGUUGAAAUAUGUCAAAGACUACAUGUGCAUUUAUGUGACGUUGUUCAAGACACGUUUUAAAAGCUAAUCAAAGCUAAAUAAAAGCGGUUAAAAGUUAAAAUUUGCACAUAAGUACAAUAAUGCAUUAAAAUAAGAUAAUCGAGCCGAAUAUAAUAGUUGAGUGACCGUGCUAGAACCACAGAAUUCGGGAGUGCCUAACACCUUCUCCUGGGUCAAUAGAAUUCCUUACUAGGAUUUCUGGCUCGCAGACUGUACAUAGAGUCAAACUUUCCUCGAUUCGGGAUUUAAGCCGGUGACUUGGGACACCAUUAAUUAUCCCAAGUGGCAACUCUGAAAUCUCUAAAUAAAUAAAUCACGUUUCGGGUUCCUUUAAUUGGAAAAACUCCCUUAGCUACGCUCUUCGCCAGGGUUGUAGUGGGUAAAAAGGAGGCGUGACAGAUCUGGCGACUCUGCUGGGGAAUCAAACCCAAAAUCUCUGGUUAGGGUUCAAGAAUUCAAGCUUUAUAUAAUUAUUGUAUCUGGCUUUAUUAUUAUCUGAUUUUAUUACAUAAUUGUGCGCAAUGUGCUAAAUGUUAUUUUUACCGCUCUAAUAUUAUUUGAACUGUAUAUAAAGUGAUGCGAAACCUUUCUCUUAUCAUCUUUGGGAUGUGCUCGCUGGUCAAGACUCCCUAUUCUAAUACUGUCAUACCUUGAAAUAAGAGACAGGCCGGGCAAGUUACAAAGACGGAUUGCCUUUUGGUUCCCGGUACGUAGUCCCCUCAUUGACUCGAGUUGUCCGCACGGGGUACACAGUCUAGAACAUAUACCCAGGAUUUGAAGCUAGAAUAACUUAACCUCAUGCCGGUGCCUUAGUAAGAAUGCUUACAUGCAUCAUGCAUUUAAAUUAGGGGACUCAACACAGGGGUUGUGUUCGUCUAGGACAGGUGCACCCAAAAUGAUGGACCAUCUUGAUGCAUUUUACCGUGCUACUUGUGUAUUUAUUCCGGAUUUGCAUGCCGAUCGGCUUUUUAAAAAAAAAGAAAAAAGAGAGAAAAAGGAGAAUUUGACAAGUGUGUGGGAUGAGGAAGGGAUUUACCUAGUUAAACAGCCGAUACUGAAAUGGUGUCGAAAUUUUGAAAACACAACCAAAAAAAAAAGGAAAAGAGUUUGUUUUCGGAAAAUGCAAAAAAGAGAGAUGGAUUUUAUUUUUCGAAAAAAAAGAAAAAGAAAACAAAAGUUGGUUUUUAAUUUUGUCAAGAUAUCCCGAACUAUGCCAGUUUGAUUCACAUAGGGAGAUACGUAUGCAACCGCCAUCGGGCCCAACUUUAUUAUUGCAAAAAUAGCCAAAAGAACUAGAUUUUGUUUGUGAAUAAUAAAUAACGCAGUUUUGUCAAAAUUCGCCGAGUGUCCUAAAAGGGUGUCGGGAGGCUGUUUUUGCAAGAACAGCCACCUUGAAUUAUUUUCUAAAUUGUGGCAGGUAGCAGGCACAACCUUAAAAUCUUCCAUGAAACUGCUGAAAGGCAGGGUUUGCGAUGCCUGGAUUUUAAUUUUGAAAUGAAAAUUUGGAAAAAAUCAAUUUUGUCUUUGAGUCCAAUAAAUCAUGAUUUUUGCUUAAUCACCCUAAUAAUUGUGCAGAAUGAGUACGAAUCAAAAUUUUCCAAUCUCAGUCAUGAACAAGAUCCCUAUGGAGGUACACACAUGUGGUGGAAUGAUCUAGGUGAAUCGGGCAAAACAAGGUCAAUAAGCACUUGGGAGGACUUACUGGGUUACUGAAAAAGAGGAUGUCAUAAAGGCGUUAGUUACAUUCUGGGACUCUGCCCAUAACGUAUUUUAUUUCCCGGACUUUGAACUCACUCCGACCCUGGAAGAAAUAACUGGAUAUAUCGGGGUUCCCAAAAUUCCUCUAAGACAUCAGUAUCUGAUUGCGCCAAGGGCAGUUGCUCUGCACAAAUUCUUGGACUCACUAAAGAUAACCAGGGGGGUUACACAAUCCAGACCUGUCAGUAGGUUUUUGUACCCCACAGUUUAUGUACCAAAAGUAUGGGCAUAUAGGGGGUUUAAUGACCCAGAAAAUAAAAUUUGUAGCAACGGAAAUCGACUCAAGUGGGAGGAACAAUAGUGUUUCGCAUUUAUGAUAUUCUUCUUGGACCUCAUGGUGUUUCCUUGGAAGGACGAGAAUAUUGACAUACGGGUAGCAAGGGUUGUCAGUACUUUGAUCACCCAAGCCUAGAGCACCCUCGCACCCAUGGUAUUAGCUGAACAUUUCCGUGCCCUCACAACAUGUAAAGCCGAAGGGGAUUUAUUUGAAGGAUGAAAUCUAUUGUUCUAGAUAUGGAUGGUUGAACACUUGUGCCAUCGAUCUCAAUUCAUGAGUUAUGGGUCAUCAGAAAGGGGCCGCAUCGAGGAAUUUUACACCAGAGUUGAUGGGUCCAGAUUACCAUAGGGGGUCACAGAAUGGGUACCAUAUCUCCGUGCCAUAAGUGCAAUUCAAAUAGAGUGGACAUUCGGGUGGCUCCCCAUUGAUGAAAUUAUAUAUAUGCCAGCUACUGGGCCUCAUUUCCUUCUGAUGGGUUUCCGGAGUAUCCAACCAUAUACUCCAUACAGAUUGCUAAGACAUUUAGAGAGGUGCCAGAUGAUUCCCAAGGAUGAAGACAUUAGUUGCCAUGUGGUCGAGAUUGGUCCCAAUAGUCAGUUUCCCAAAGCAGUAGUCCAUCAAAUUUGGAGCGAAUGUCAGUACUUGACGGUGGAGACUCGAGUACGAGACUUAUCCAAAGGCCAGGUUGCACCAGAGUACCUUUCUUGGUAUAAGAAGGAAAUAGAGUUCGGAAGCCGGCUAAGAGGCCACAUCUUCAGGAGUUUGCUGAGGCGUCACAAGAAUAAUGGAAUUGGUUAGCCAAAGAAAACGAAUACAUGGCCACAAUAGGGACAUUGGAAAAACAAGCCAAAGACCUUCAAUUCGAGAAUGGUUUGCAAGUUGUGGUAGACGAGGGAGAAAAGAAAAGACUAGCCAAAGAAAAUGAAGCUUUGCGAUCCCAAAUUCAAAAAUGAAAAUGGUCGCAGAGAAUCCUGCAAGAAGUGUGAAGGAUGAAAAGCUUAUAGACAACUUGAGGCAGAAAGUAGGAGAAUAUGGUUUUGACUUGAACAAAACAGAGGGUGAACUGUCUAGAGCCCGGAAACAAUUGGCCAGAAAUGUAGAAGAAUGGGCACGUAUGAUUGAACAAUUAAGAGAAAGGUAUGACAACGAGAUUGCGGGGAUGAAGAAGAGGGUCAUCUUGGUUGAAAACAAAAUGGUCAAACAAGCGAGGGACGUUAAGGCUGAAAGAGAACAUUGUUACACAGUAGCAUGGUUGGAAAGAGAUUUGUGACCAUUCCAAGAUCUGAAUCAUGCAGCCGAACAAAAUUUGGAGGCCAGGGCCCAGCAAAUUGGGCGAUUGCUGCAAGAAAAGCGUGCUAUAAGAGAGAGCAUACGGAUCGUCGCUAAUUACAUCACCGUAAAGUGUAGCCACUCUGAAGAUAUGACAAGAUCUAUGUUCUUUUCCACUGCCAUGACCUUUUGUUCUUCAAGUGAUGGAAGACCUCUACCACCUCCAAGGGAAUUUAGCACACAGGUCUGCAGCAAGACCGAAUGAUGUCCCGCAGGCCCCAGGAGCAUUAGAGGCUUUAAUGUAUUCAUGAUUUUCAAAUUUGUUGGUCCAUUUGAUAGUCUGUAUUUUCUUUUAUUUGAGUUUGUAGUAGGUUGUCAAGUCAGUUAUUUUCAUUUAAAGUAAGAUUCUACUGUUUUUGGUUAAGUUGGAGUCUGUUGAUUUCUUUUAGUAGUUGUAAUCAAGUGUUUUACUUUAUGAAAAUUGAAAAAUUUCCAAAAUAUUUAUUGUAUUUAUUCGCCAGAAUUACGCUCGAUCUGAUUCAUGCGGGGUCAUGAUACGUAGGCAAUCUCCAUAGGAUUCGACCAUAACCAAUAUAAGAAAAAGAAAGAAAAAAAUGAAAGGAAAAUCACGAGAGAAAUAACGGUAAAAUAAAGGAGAGAAUAAUAAAAGAAGGUAGGCAAAGACAAGUUGAGCUAAAGGAAAGGGGAAGAAGAAAAGAAAACAAGAGAGAAAAGAAAAGUGGCAUAGGAUAAAAGCCGAGAUGAUGCAAGUAGCCAAUUUAGUUCAUAAUAGAAGCCGAUAACUGUGGCUAGGUAAAUUGCACAUAAAGUUAAAUUAUAUUAUGUUAAAUGCCCUAACGCUAACGUGAUGGCUUCAUUUUGUUGUGUUCAUAGCAGAAGGGUGGUUUGUUUGUGGUUUUUAAAGUGGUAACUGUUCGCUACAACAUAAAGUCAAAAACAAUGGCAGACAAUAUUAGAACUGAGUUAGUUGACACCGGUGCCAUAAUGUAGUUGGUCUAAUGGGACAACGGGUUGGUUGAAGAGGUGCGGAUGUUAAGACUACACAUGACGAACAUGUAUCAUGCCUGGACGACCAGGAAGGCACUGCCCCUGCCACCACCUGGCUUCUUAGAUGUUCUCUUUGCCCAAACUCUAGACUUUUCCAGUCACCCCAGUAGCUCCAUCGCUCAUCACAAUGAAUACUCACUCAAAUCUCAUGAUGCCCAAUAUUACCCCUCAAAGGUUGCCCAUGACAAGAACCUUCACGAUAAGCUUCAUGUUGAAAAUGAAAAGGUUACAGGAAAAGAAGGGCGGGAUGAGAUAUCUGGGAAGCUGAAAAGCACAGAACAGUCAUCAAAGAACAUGCUAGGGAUAGGAGACCAGGGUAGCAUGUAUUACAAAGAACUGUCAGUGUCCCUGACAUUCGUCUGCCCACAGGAUUUAAAGUACCAACAUUUCACAUGUAUGAUGGGUGUGGAGAUCUUGUAGCCCACUUGAACCAGGGUAGCAUGAAUUACAAUGAACUGUUAGUGAUCCCUGACAUUCGUCUACCCACGAGAUUUAAAGUUCCAUAAUUUAACUUGUAUGAUGGGUGUGGAGAUUCGGUAGCCCACUUGAAGGUUUAUUGCAACAAAAUAAGAAGUAUUAUAGAGAAAGAUGACUUGUUGAUGGCAUAUUUUCAUAAGAGCUUGAUUGGGGUAGCUUUGGAAUGGCAAAAUCGUCAAGAUGUCGGUAAAUGGCAUACAUGGGAUGACAUGGCGCAAGAUUUUGUGCUAUAAUUUCAGCACGAUAUAGGUAUUAUCCUAGGCCACUCCUCCCUACCUCAUAUGGAAAAUAAACCUAUGGAAAGAUUUAGGGAUCUUUGGAUCAGGUGGAACAAACAAGUUGUUCGGGAUAGAAAAGAUGUUGUUGAGCCCCGCCGAUGACAGGGUCCAGUGGUCGUUCUUGCUAAACGCUUUUGGCCUCGAUAGCAGCCCCAUGGAUAUAUUUGUGCACCACAUGACCCUACCCAAUGCUAUUUUUCUCCAUAGAACCCUCGAAGUCGUGCACCACUUUCCCAGUACCCUGUCCGUAAUGCACCACCAUAUGCUCCACACUCACGAGGCACGAGAUGGCCCACACCAAUUUCCCAAAUGUCUUUCCCUCCCCCUCAGGCAUCUCAACUACCUGCCCACAAAGAUUCUAACCAAGUAUAGAGUAUAUAAUGAAAAGACUACUGAAAAAAGAAAAUGCUUUCAUGCCCAUCGGUGAAUCCUAUACAAGUUUGUUCGAAAAGUUAAAGCAUGCUGGCCUAAUUAAGCCACUCCUUGGUUAUGCUCCAGACCUAUUUGCAAAAGGCUUUGAUCCUGCUGUUUGAUGCAUGUACCACUCUAAUGUCAGGGGCAUAACAUGAAGGAUUGUUGUUCUUUGAAAAGGGAAAUAGAAAUAAUGAUUCAAGAAGGGGUAGUUGUUGUCAACGACAGUGAUAUGAGCGUAUGAAUCUUCUCAAGAACUUGGUAGUUAAAGCUAAUAAUAGGCUUGGAAAAAUUGAUGCAAAACUCAGUGGCUUAAUGCCAUGCUUGGUAAUUGGAAAGGCACUCCAUUUCUUGAUCAGCGAAAGUGGAGUUUUUGGUGGUUCAUUUUGUUGUCAUUUAUGCUAUCCAGGUUAUUGCAGGGUUGUAAUCCUGAUAUUUUCUUGUGACUGAAACCCUUAUAUCCUUUUAUGUUUCCUAGUUUGUUUAGUCGUAGUAGUGUUGUUUAGGAUUGUUCUAGGUUUGUAACUCCAGUUUAGUUUGCUUGUUUUUUGUCCAAACCCUUUUACCGUCUGUCUAAUGCAAUUUUCUAUUUUCUAUAAUUUCUAGUCAUUUUUCCUUAAUUCUCUUUUCUUUAUAGUCCUUUUCCUAUUGAAUUUAGUGACAUGAUAUGCAUGCAAAAUCCGAGACCCGGUCUUAAAAGAUUACUCAUAAAGCAAUGAAGCAACUUUGAAGGAAAUAAGUACACAAUUUUGAGAUCAUUUGAAGCCCAAUCUGUGCGAAACUGGGGUAGAUAAUUAUGAGAUUGCUACAAGACUGAAUUAUGUUAAACUGAGACAAGUAGAACAUAGAGAAACACUAUUGAAAUACUCCAUGCUUCACCGAGUUGAAACUAACGACAAGUUUGCCCUAAAUUGGUAGGGGGCGUUCGUGGUAUUGAGAGUGAAGGUAUUGUCCAAUGGUGUUACGAACAGUAUUCUAUAGUCUUUUUAAUUGGAUUACUUGUACUUGGUAUAUUUUGAAGGUUGGAAUGACGAAGACAUUUUCUUCUGCUAUCUAAACACUUUAUUCUUUGUUAACUCUUUUGAGCUUUAAUUGUUUUCUUCACACCCCCAUUUCGAAAUUAGCAGCAAAAUCAGAAACGCAAGUAUGAGAAAUGAGCAAAGGGAAAAAAAGGAGAGAAUGAAAAAAAAGAGAAAAAAGACGGGAGAAAAAGAAGAAGAAAAGAAAGAAAAAGGAAAAAGAACAGAAAAUAAAAGAAAAGAGAAAAAACACGAUAACAAAACAGCAAAACAAGAAAAUAAAAGGCAGAAACAAAAGAGAAGAGUGAGAAGAAAGAGGAAAGAGAAAACCACAACGAAAACAAAGCAAUUUCUGGGAUGAACUACGUUUGACCUGAUUCCUUUUAAGAGUACAUAGGCAGCCUCACAGUUCGGUCUCGUUAAAGUAAAAUCCAAAAGUCCCCAAGCAAGAAGCUGGGGCAGAAGUUGUGGUUGUUUUAGGAAAUCUGAUUCUGAAAGUUGUAAUUUUGAAUCCAUUUCGAAUGUUUUGAGCUCUAUUAACCUUUCUUUCUAACCCUAUCCAAAAGCCUGCAUUGCGGUCCAAAGAGACCUUCUAAUCAGUCUUCAAGAAAUGCCAAGUCAAGAUUCGUAUCAGAGGCAACACCCUGGGCCAAGAAGGAAGGAAAUGAAAAAUGAUAGAGUCUUAUCGGUGAAAACCUUCAAAGGCACCAUAAGGCGACGGUGAGUUGAGAGAAAGACCAAAAUGAGAGAGGCUUGAUGGUGAAAACCCUACGGGCACUACAAGCCGAAUAUGAAUUGAGAAUCAGACGGGAAAUCACCAGAUGGAGAUUGUGAAAUAUCACUAACAACAGAGUAUCAAAGCCUAGUUUCAUGGUAUAACAGGAGCCGAACAUCAUAUUUGCUUGAAAGGAUAGACGAGAUAUGCAUGUCAUGGUCAUUAGAGUUAGUAUCCACAUCCGAUAGGUUUCUACUUUGUAGCUCUCUUGUUCGGAAUCAUCUUUUUCCAUUCUUUUUUCUUGUUUACUUCCUCUUCUUGAGUAUGUUGGGUUAAAACAAGUGAGAAAUGACUUCAAAAUUUGCCACUAGCUUACCAAUUGCACAAAACGGGAUCUGGUGGACACAUCAAAGCAUGAUAAGUCAGGAAAGAGCAGCAGGCACACCGAGUUGGAAAUAAUCAAUAGGAUUUGGGAUCCUUGUGAAAUGCCAAGGCUUGUAUAUAUCAAUUCAUGAACAAUGCAACAGAUCAAGGGUUAGAACGGACAGACUAAAGGUAUCUUCUAUGAGACGGUAGACAAAAAGGGUGGUUAACCAAUGACAAUCAAGACCUUUCAAAUAUAAAUCUAAGUUGUCAUGGAAAAUGAGGGAGCUAUCUCAAGGACAAGACCAGUGGUUUAAGUCAAGAAAGAACAACAUACACAUUGNNNNNNNNNNNNNNNNNNNNNNNNNNNNNNNNNNNNNNNNNNNNNNNNNNNNNNNNNNNNNNNNNNNNNNNNNNNNNNNNNNNNNNNNNGGGGGGGGGGGGGGGGGGGGGAAUUGACGUGAUUUAGGGUCAUGAAGACACAAAGGUGGGAAAAUGUUAGUUCAGGAGAAAUGUAACAGAUAGAAGGUAUUAGGUUAAAUGUAGAAGAAGUAUUUUUUGUGCUAAGGGUGGCAAAGGACGUGAAUAGUCAAGGAACAAGCAAGGUCUUCGAAUGGAAAUCAGUCAUCAUUGGAAGUGAAGAAGCAAUUGCCUUCAAAGUUCAAGACAACAAACCAACCUCCACGUUUUUAAACUGAUGAGAUUUUCUUUGAUUAAAACAUGGGCAGAAAUUUCAGAGGUCUCGGAGAAAGUAUUCCAUUGAAAAAGCAAGCACCUAGCAGGCAUGGCCACAAACUUUAAUUGUCGAUCCCCUGGAUAAUAGAGUGUAACUUUAAUUACUGAUCCCUCACAGAAACAACCGAGAGCUGAAAUUGGCAUUUAAUUUGAAAUUCUCAAAACCCUUCUAGAUAAUGGGACGCAGCUCUAAAUACUAAUCCCCAGCAGACAUGAUUUGGAUUUAAAAUUGGUCGUAAUUAAAAGUUGUCAGGGCCCUCCCGGAUAAUGAGAUGUCGCUUUAAUUACUGGUCUCCAGCAGAUAUAACUUAGCUUCCCUCUUAGAUAAUAGGGUAUAGCUUUCAAAUUUUAGAGAUAUUUUGUAAUGAGAUUUGAUUAAGACUCACAAAUUCACCCAGCACCACACAGGGGUAGGAAAAAUUUCUUUUGUUUUGUUUGUUUUGUUAUAAUCAGAUACAAAGGUAGCAGUCCCAAGGGAGUUUUUGUAAUUAGGCGCUCAACUGUAGAAUAAGGGAAUACGUUUCAAGUUUUUGAUCAGGCGCCCACCUGGAGAACAAAGGAAUACAUUUCAAGUUUUGGCAAUUAGGCGCCCACCUGGAGAACAAGGGAAUACAUUUCAAGUUUCAAGUUUUGGUAAUCAGGCGCCCGCCUGAAAAACAAGGGAAUACAUUUCAAGUUUCGAGUUUUGGCAAUCAGGCACCCACCCAGAGAACAGGGGAAUACAUUUUAGUUUUGUUCAAGUUUUGGCAAUCAGGAGCCCACCUGAAGAACAAGGGAAUAUAUUUUGAAUUUUAGUAAUCAGGCGCCCACUUGGAGAACAAGGGAGUAUAGCUUAAGUUCAAUCAUCAGGCAUCAACAUGGAGAAAGAGAAACAUAGCAACAAGGCAACAAGGAGUUUCACAGUAAGAAAUACAAGUUAACAAGGCAACAAGAAGUUUCACAGCGAGAUAUACAAGGCAACAAGGAUCGAGAGCAAGUUUGAAGACAUAGAUAGGUUCUUUUUUAAUCCAUAGGUCAUAGCCUAGUCUAGCUUCUUUAGUUUUGCAUGGUAUAAUAAGGGGAUCUAACAAGCAGUAGCAGCAGAAACAACAGUGAGAUCACAGCUUCGGUAGUCCCAGCUACCAAACACUCUUGAACUACACUGACCUAAUUCCUUUUUAGCCAAGGAUAUGUAGGCAACCUUUGAAGUAAGGUGCGGUCAAACUUUUCAACAAAAUGCUUCACACGGAGUACUCGAACGGGCAAAAAUCAUUCAUGUCCGCUCACUUAUCUUUAAAUAAAAACUCUUCGUGUUUCCGGAAAAAGAGGAGAAGCUGUGAGCAUGUGAUUUUUUCCCGACAUGAAUUACUCCUAUAAAUUCAAACAAAAUCAUUUCUUUUAUUUGUCUGCAAUUUUGUGGAUUUUGCGGCAUUUUUUGUUAAUUAUUUACAUUUUAUUUGUGCAUUUUAAUUAGUAAAAAAUACAAAAAUAUGUUGCAUGUGUAGUUAGGAGUUAAUUUCAUAUUUAAAAUUAUUCAGUAAUCAAGUUGUUUUAUAAAAAUAAAAAAAUAAAAAAAUUGCUUAAUUUGCUCUUUUAAUUUUAAUUUUUAAGUGGUUUUGCUUUUAAUUUAAUUUUAAUUAUUUAUGAUAAUAAUUAUGUAGGAUUGAUUAGCAUUUCAUAGGUAAAUUUGAGAUUUGUAAUUAAUUUAGGAUUUUUAGUAAUUUUUGAAAAUGAAAAAUGAAAAACAAAUGAAUAGAAAUCUGAAAAUUUAAAAAAGAGAAGACCCAAAUUGAGCCAUUUUGAAUUAAACCCCAGUCGAAAUAAACCCACCCAAACCAGUCUAGCCCAACCCAACCCGGUCUAGCCUUAUUUAUAACAAAACGACUUCAUUUUGGGCAAUUAAAUCCUAGCCGUCUAGGUUCUUAGAUCCUACGGUCUAGAAGCCCACACCCCUUUGAUACAUAUAUGUCCAAACCCCGCCCCACCCCCAAAGACCGCCAUCUCUAACCUUUCUCAUCAGAACCCCUAGAGCCUCCCGUCACCGCCUUUACCACCGUGCACCAUUGGCCGGAAAUCGCCUCCGCCGACGGGGAGCUCCAAAUCACACAAAAUUAACAACACUUAACCAACUUCCUCUCCUAUUUCAAAAUCCAUGCCCCGCUUUCCUUGAAUACCACCCCAUCUCAUCCAAUAUUAGUUUGAAAUACCGGUUCCUCCGUGGUGUACGGCGGCGCGCCACCCAACCACUCCCAAACUUACACCAAAUGACCCUUGCCUCUCCCUCCUUAAAUCUGCACUUAACAUCCCCAAAAAACUCUUGGAUCUUCAUAGAUACGAACUCGAAAGAGGCUGUUGACUUCACAAUCACCAAAUUGACCCAGAAUCGUACCUAAACCAUGGUACAUGUAGAGAAAUUAAGCUACGUUUUCUCAUUUUCUUUUCUAGAUUUCCUUUUUCCCAUCUCUUCUGUUAAUUUGGUUCAAGGUUAGGGUUAGGUCAUAUAAUUCAAAUUAGGAUGGUUUGAAUCUCAUUCCUGAGUUUAAUUUUAGUUGUGUUCAAUCCUGUUUAGUUUUCAUAUCUUGUUGUAAUUCAAACUAAGUUUCAGUAGGAUUAAAAUUAGUGAGGUUAGUCAAUGUUGGUCAUCAUGUACGUUGAUUAUUAUUUCAAUGGUUUUCAGAGUUUAUGUUUUUGUGAAAUGAUCAAGUUUCUAGCAUUUUAAAUCCUAUAUAGUGUUCUUGUGGUAGACCAGGCUUUCAUGACUUAAUAUGAUUCACAGCUAUUAGGUGCAUUCUCAGUCUUGCCUUUUAUUUGUUUUGAUCCACGUGAAGGUAUUAUCUCGUUUAUCCUCCAUUUGUUGAUGUUUGUAGAUUUUCGGUACUUUAACAGGGGGAAUUGAAUGAUUUGAAACUUNNNNNNNNNNNNNNNNNNNNNNNNNNNNNNNNNNNNNNNNNNNNNNNNNNNNNNNNNNNNNNNNNNNNNNNNNNNNNNNNNNNNNNNNNNNNNNNNNNNNNNNNNNNNNNNNNNNNNNNNNNNNNNNNNNNNNNNNNNNNNNNNNNNNNNNNNNNNNNNNNNNNNNNNNNNNNNNNNNNNNNNNNNNNNNNNNNNNNNNNNNNNNNNNNNNNNNNNNNNNNNNNNNGGGGGGGGGGGGGAGGGGUAUUAUAGGACAAUACACCUAGGGAAUAUUUUGAUAACAAUAAUAGAAGCUUCUAGUAGGGGGUGCCUAGUUAAUUUCAAUGCUAAAACUUGGUCCACAAGUCAAAAACUAAAGGACUAAAAUAAAAAUAAAAAUAUAAGGGUGCCUUAGUUUGCUUGCCUAUAAAGGCAGCUCUUCUUGCCUUAGAAAAGGAGGACUUUAAGUAGUAAAAUUCUUAAAAAGGACUCUAAAGAGAGACUAAAAAGAUCAAAAAAACAAUAGGAAAAAAUACAAAAAAAAAUAUAGCUAAAAUAAUACUGGUCCAUUAAAUUUUUUUCUGAGAUCCUGGAGAUUUUCUUGGUUAAAACGAGUCUCUGAAUAUUCAGAAGUUGAAAAUGAGUUGAACUUGGUUUGAUGUUCAAGUAUUUGGGUUAGCUUUUGUUUGGAUUUUGAUGGCUGGUUUUACUGAUACAUUGUUGGUUCUAGUUUGGGUUUUAAGUUGAUCUUCCUCCGUUAUUCCUGGGGUAUUUAGCUGCUGAAACAUGUCCCUGCUACUACUACUACUAAGCUUGAUGUCUCACUUCUUCUUUGUUUCUCUCUUCUU
rnacentral:lncRNA from 1 species